UUCCCGAGUCAGAGAGAGCUGGAGCCCGGCACACACUGAGCGCUGAGCAUCAGGCAAGCCCUCAGCUCCUUCCUCUGUCACAUUCAGGCUUCCUUUUCCUUUGGACACCCUGCUCCGUGGAAGCUUCACAGACCUGAGAACAACACCUUCCAAACCAGCCUGGACCUUUUGUGCAUAGAACACAGCUGUUGGCAUCUCCAAAGAACCCCGGCCUGGGAAGGGUGCCUCUCAUCUCUGGUCUGCAGGUCUGCCAGGCAAGGAAUCCCCUUGUCUGGGGGAGAUUAUCACUGAAAUGAUGAGCUUG